rnacentral:rRNA from 1 species
CGAAGGCUCCAAAGGAAGCCACGGCUAACUCUGCGCCAGCAGCCGCGGUAAUACAGAGGUGGCAAGCGUUGUUCGGAAUCAUUGGGCGUAAAGAGCACGUAGGUGGGUAUAUAAGUCAGAUGUGAAAGCCUUCUGUUCAACGGGAGAAUUGCAUCUGAAACUGUAAGUCUUGAGUAUAGGAGGGGAGAAUGGAACUUCUGGUGGAGCGGUGAAAUGCGUAGAUAUCAGAAGGAACGCCGGCGGCGAAAGCGAUUCUCUGGCCUAUUACUGACACUCAGUGUGCGAAAGCUAGGGGAGCAAACGGGAUUAGAUACCCCGGUAGUCCUAGCUGUAAA